ACCACGACAACACGGAGGGAGGGGUGUGUCAGCGCUCGCGCGUGCUUUAGGAAAAAAAAAAGAAGAAGAAAAAUAGGGAAGGCGUCUCAGGCCUUGGAGACCCGGCACCCUCAGAGAGAGAGCCAGGCACGCCCAUUCUGUGCAACUCAGCUGGUCUUUGUUGGAGGAUUCGGCGAGGGAAUGCCGCCCGGGGUUGAUCCACCCAGUGGACUGGCUGGUAACUCCAGGAGGAGGGGAAAAGGAAUCUGUUGACGGCAGGCCAUCUGUGUACUCAGAGCAGAGCGGCAUUUCUGCACAAUCCCGGCCCGGGGUGAGCUGUGGACGUGUUAAGAGCUGGCUCCGAACGGGGCCAGGGAGCCAGGGCCAGAUCUGUUCUGCAAUUAUUUGCUGAAGAGGGCCGCCAGUCAAAACGAGAGCUCACAAAUGAAGCUGGUUUUGCCAGCCAGCUUAUUCUGGGGAUCCUCUCCCUCUGGAGGCUAAGAUUGCAGUGAAGGAAAGCCCAUUCUCUACCCCACUGGAUGAAACAAAGGAAGAUGCAUUGAAAGCUGGCUGGUGAAUGCCACGAAGCCUGACAACCUGAGAUCCAUUCCCAGAACCCACACGGUAGAAGCAAGGAACAGACUCCUAUUUGAGUCACUGUCUGACCACACACACACACACACACACACACACACACAAGAAUUUAAAAACUUUUAAAGAUGCAUAAAAGCACACACGAACGGAAAGCUUUUCAAAUGUUGCCUUUUUACCAAAAUCUAAGAAGCCAUUUUAAGUCACAGCAUCCAAAAGAAAAAUGUGCUACAGAUGCAAAUAUGACCUAGUAAUUUUAAGAAGCUUCAGAAUUUCACAAAUGUCUGCAUGUUUAAAAGAACGCUUUAGUAUUGUCGUAACGCUCUUAACUACGCGUUAGCCUGAGAAUAUACUGUCGGUGUCUCAUGAAAGUACUUUACCCAACUCCAGCAAUUACAGAGAGACAGUCUGCAUCACAGUCUACAGGCCCUGUGCCAGACCUGCUACAUGUUAGGUGGAGGAGAAAGCACCUACUAUGUGAAUAAAAACUCAGAAUGUUAUUUGGGAAACUAUCCUUACCUUGCAGAA